rnacentral:misc_RNA from 1 species
CAUUCCUUUGCGACAACGCAAUCCGGGCAGUUCUCCCCCGUCAGGAAGACGGGGGAGAAUCUGCUACGGCCACGAAAGUCGUUCUUUUCGAGGCACAAGGCAACCCGAUGGGGCAACGAAGGGAGGCAAGCCCCCCGCCCUCAUAACUUUCCGCAUCCAGAACCACGAGCAAUGGACACAUGGGCCAACGCAGCCAGGCCAUGGCAUGCGAGGAACACGUGCAUCGCUACAAGGUCGGCCCCAUGCCGUGACAGGCAAAGGACGAAGGGGAACAAGCAUCAAAUUCGAUUUCCACCAGUGGGUAAGCAGCACAGGAACCCAGCGUCACCACGAAAGAAGUUUCGGGUGCUUGUAUCUGAAGGGAUCGCGGAAAGAUAGUUCGGUGCGC